rnacentral:rRNA from 1 species
AUGGGGGGGCGAGAAGACGAAGAAUCCCCAAGAGAUGAUCACGACGGUGAUGCUGUACACAGUCAUCAUGUAGAAGAUGCAGGACAUGAUGAUGAUGCCGGCGGAGCAGACGACGCUGGACCAUCGAUGGGCUGGGUGCAGGACCCUCAUAUUCAAGAGCUGCUUCUCAAGCAGACGGAUAACGCAAGAGCUGCCGCCCGAGAGAAAGCCAAGAUGGAUCAACUUGAGUUAGACGCGGUUACUCCAUUGUAUGAAGGAUGCAGACCCGAGGAUACCCGCCUGAAAGUAACGCUCAUGGCUCUGGAGAUGAAGGUAAAACACAAAAUGACCGACGCAUGCUUCGACGAGAACAUGUCAUUCUGGCACAAACGUCUUCCCAAGGGGAACAAGUGCCCGACAAGUUUGGAGGAGGCGAAGAAAAUCGUGUGUCCUCUGGAUUUACCGCACGUGAAAUACCAUGUGUGCAUGAACAAUUGCAUCAUUUAUCGGGACGAGCACGCGGAGUCUACCAUAUGUCCGGUGUGCGGUGUCACUCGAUACAAGAAGAGGAAGAAAGCUCCUCGAAAAGUGGUGUGGUACUUUCCGAUCACUCCUCGUCUGCAGCGGUAUUUCGCGGAUCCUAAGGUAGCAAAGCUCCUGCGUUGGCACGCGGAUAGGGAGGAGAAGAAGCGAGAAGAUGACGCAAAUGAUCCGGAGAUAGAUAAAAAAGACAAGAUGCUGAGUCACCCUAAGGAUGCGAGCCAGUGGCAAGCGUUGAACUUCGAAUACCCAGAAUUUGGGAACAAUCCAAGGAACAUCAUGCUGGGCGCGAGCACCGAUGGAGUCAAUCCGUUUGGCAGCCAGAGAAGCACACAUAGCACCUGGCCUGUGUUUGUGUGGAUGUACAACCUUCCCCCUGGUUGUGCAUGA